CCAGACCCCCGAAUUCAUGCACCUACAAUUGGCAAAGUCCUUCUCAAGUCUAGAGACUUCUUCACAGAUGACUACAUGUUUUGGGUUUGUGUUGGAGCACUCUUGGGGUUUUCUCUUCUCUUCAACAUUUUAUUUAUUAAGUCAAUGCUGCAAUAUUGCAGCAUUGACUUUUUUGAAUCCUCUUAGUGAUUCAAAAUCUAUAGUCUUGGAUGAAGAUGUUGGAAAGAAGAAUAAGAAAUCAUCUGGAUGAAUGACCUAUGAAGGCUACUCACAGAAAUGGGAAAGUUCUAGCGUUUUAUUCCAUGUCGGAGUAUGAAUCUUGGAAGGAGAGCUUGGGAGGCAAUGCCAGCGGUUGGUCCAUUAAGUACUAUAAGGUUUGUAUGUUCAAGAUCACAGGAGGGAUAAAUCUAGGGUACUCGGUGUUUUUGUAUGUGUUGUCAGUUUUGGUAUUUUAUUAUCUGCACUACUAUUUGUCUCUUGGACUAUAUUUGUCCCUUCAAGUUUUCAUUGAGGAAACCUACCUUGGAUUUCUGGGUGAACUGUGUCAGAUUCGUAAUUAUUGUGGUUAUAUGCAAUGCUGCUGCCAUGGAGGUACAUAUAUUAUGACAUGUUGAACCAAGCUAUUUUUAGUAACAUGUAACGUGAAGUACUUGAUGUUUUUAGAUGUUCUUUUCCUCAGGCACUUCCCAUAUUUCUGUAUAGUCUAAUCACUGCUUGGGGUGCCAUCCUGAUUUCAGUUACAUUGAUACUUCUAUUUGGAGAGGUGAGGGAUUUAUCUUAGGUAACAUUUCUUUAGAAGAGAGCUAUAAAAUUUGGAGCAGGUGGACAGCUGCUUGAAUUUGCAGUGCAAUUUAUGGUUUAUUAGGGUAUUCGUGCCCAAUUUUACCCACGUAAAACUGAUUUCUUAUCCCUGCAAUUUGCGACAUGGGGAAUUGAGGUGGGAAUGUGUCUGCCCAUUAGAAAAAGUGCUUAUUAGAAAACUUGAGUUAUGUUCUUGUAGCAUGGAUACAUUUUCUGAAGAAGUGCUUUUAGAAAACUCAAAUUUAUUUUUCGCAUCAUGAUGUUUCAAUUUUCCUGGUUAAAUCAGCAUGGUGAAUUUGCAUGCGCUAAUUACUACUAGUCUGUAUGAACAGAUUAUACAACAAUCUGUUUGUUCUAGAUAUGGGUUGGCUAUUGGUGCAGUUGUAGCCCCAUUUGUCUGCAUUCUUGUUUGGAUUUGUUUUCCUGUAGCAUAUCCAAUAAGCAAGGUACUUGUGUUUGCUCAGCACUAUUGCAUUGCAUUAGUUAAGCAAAUUCAUUGGUUGGUCUUUCUAAUUAGUCUUCUUGGCUACCCUUAUUCUCUGUGAUUUUAGCUAUUAUAUUUUCUGCUAGGACAUGUACAUGUAGCACUUUUCCGUAGAGCUGAGUUGAAAACACUGGUUGAUUUGCAUGGUAAUGAGGUAAGUAGCUACAUUUUUUAAAGUGUUAUGAACUAACAACAUUUUUUUAUUUAUUUAUGAUGCAAUUUGGUCCAUCCCCCUCCCAUGUCCCUACUGCCCACCCACCCACCCACCUACCUACACCCAAAAGAAAAAAAGGACAAUAAUGUUUUUCCAUCCUGUUAUUGUUAUUGCUGUUAGUUUUUUUCUCUAUCAAGGCACGAAAAGGACAAAUCACAGCUCAUUCAUAUGACAAACAGUCUAUAAUUUUUGUCAUAAUAACAGGAAAAGUUCAAUUGGAUACAGGUAUGUAGGGACACGACACUUGAUGCCAGUCCAGCAUAGUUGGGAAUUCAAUUUCCCCGGUUCAUGCUUAUUAUUUUAGUACACAUCUUUUUUCAAGGCAGUAUCAUUAGAAAUUGGUUUAAGACAUACUAUAGGAUGGCAGUGAAUCACAAAAUGGCUUUGUGUAGUGAAUUCCUUGUAGUUGAAUAAGGCUUUGUUGAAUGAGCAUGCUCAGUUUUUGUCUAU